AGGGCAAGUAGCACUGGGAUGUUUAUAUAGUUAGGAUUUGAACGGUUUGGGGAUUGGAUGCUUGGAAUUUAAGAUGGUGCGUGGGGAAUCAGUCCUGGGCGGCCGCCCACAGCACGACAUAGAAGGUUUCGGAAAUCCAGGUAGGAGGGCAGAUAGAGCCCCGCAGUAGUAGAAGUGGUUUGAACUACCCUGUCUAUAGGGUAAGUGGAUCAGUUAAGGCCAGAUGGAUUUUCUAGUGGAGACCCUAGGAGUACUUUUGAGUUUUUUUAAUGGAUGACUGUAUGUAUAUGAAUAUGACAGACUUAGUUGGACUCUGGUAUGGUUUCUGGUAUUGAUGACAUAUAUAUAUGAUUUUAUGUUUCCCGCUGCU